rnacentral:rRNA from 1 species
UAGAGUUUGAUCCUGGCUCAGAUUGAACGCUGGCGGCAGGCCUAACACAUGCAAGUCGAGCGGAAACGAGAAUAGCUUGCUAUUCGGCGUCGAGCGGCGGACGGGUGAGUAAUGCCUGGGAAUAUACCCUGAUGUGGGGGAUAACUAUUGGAAACGAUAGCUAAUACCGCAUAAUCUCUUCGGAGUAAAGAGGGGGACCUUCGGGCCUCUCGCGUCAGGAUUAGCCCAAGUGAGAUUAGCUAGUUGGUAAGGUAAUGGCUUACCAAGGCGACGAUCUCUAGCUGGUUUGAGAGGAUGAUCAGCCACACUGGGACUGAGACACGGCCCAGACUCCUACGGGAGGCAGCAGUGGGGAAUAUUGCACAAUGGGGGAAACCCUGAUGCAGCCAUGCCGCGUGUGUGAAGAAGGCCUUCGGGUUGUAAGGCACUUUCAGUUGUGAGGAAAGGUGUGUAGUUAAUAGCUGCAUACUGUGACGUUAACAACAGAAGAAGCACCGGCUAACUUCGUGCCAGCAGCCGCGGUAAUACGAGGGGUGCAAGCGUUAAUCGGAAUUACUGGGCGUAAAGCGUUCGUAGGCGGUUGAAUAAGCAAGAUGUGAAAGCCCAGGGCUCAACCUUGGAACUGCAUUUUGAACUGUUCGACUAGAGUACUGUAGAGGGGGGUAGAAUUUCA